UCUGUAAUUCAUGGCUAAUCCGAAGAGUUUGAUUGAGUUGAUGGCGGCAGGGACCAGAUAGACACCUUGGUGAUUGUCUUUGGCCAUAAGAAUAGACCAAGGAUAGGUUUUCCAGAGACACCUUCAUACUGUAAACAUGGUUUAGACACGGUCAUAGGGAAGGCUGCUGGUCCAUCAUUUGUUCUGAACAAAUGGCAUUUCCUGCUCCUGACCCUGGCAGUUGGCCCCAGAUUCCUUGUCGAUGACUUGGAAACGUCCAUUCUGGGUAAGGUCAGCACUCCCUGAGAGAUGUUAACAAAGUUUACCUAUGAGUCUUACUGUGUAGACAAUCUGAAGUCAAUUUUAGUUACACAAUCAGCAUUCCCAUGUGUCCUCAGUGUCUUAUCAAUGAACUAUGUGUAUCAAGCCAUACUAAACUGGAGUUUAGCAGGACAAAGGCAAACUAAAUGUAGAACAUAACAUAUCAGCUGAAUAUGUCUAUCCAGGACUGUUUUUCUAGAACAUAAAUCAUGGAGCUCCUUGACAGUGUAUCCACUGUUUUUGGGGUUUAAUAAAACCAACUAGAAUUUAGACUUAAAAAGAAAUUAUUAUUCCUUUUGGUUGUCCACAUAAAGUAGUCCAGGGCUAUCAUAUGGCUAAAAUCAAGUUAUUUGGUUCAUCUCUGGUAUGUAUUUAUAAAGUCAACUUAUCAGCCAUUAAGAUGGAGAUUUGCUUUAAAUUUUUGCAGUGUGUGUGGCAGUCAGAAAAACCCAUAUCUAGUUUUCAACUUCACCUCUGGUGUUUUUAUGGCUUAACCUUAUAUCAUUGAUCCAACAUCUAGCCUGAUGCUGGAGCUCUUAUUUCUAGCCUGAUGCUGGAGCUCUUAUAUCUAGCCUGAUGCUGGAGCUCUUGAAGCUGACUCUUGGAAGUUUGGAGGGUGUAGAGUUUCCCAUCUAGUAUUUAAUUUGUCCCUGUGCCAUUAGUCCCAGCUUGAAGUCAUUUGCCAGUGUCGAUGUUGACAGGAUUGUGACAAUAUUGCCUUUCAUAAAACCGAGAACCAAAGAAUUCCAUUAUUCUAACAAAGCCUGAGUUUCAUAGAUUGUGGGCACAUCUAGACAGAUAUGUGCAUGCUUGAUGGUGCAGAGAAACUGCUGACUUCCACCAACCUCAUGCUCCCCCUGGCUGGCCAUACAGAGGGAUUCGUUGUCAUAUUGAAAAGGCUCUGAAAGAUGAGUUUCUAAUUGAAGCUCACUAUCUCAGGUUGGUGUUUCUACUGUGUAGUCCCAAGCCUGUAUCCAUAUCAUAAAAGUGGAGGCCUGGUACUCCUCCAGGUUAUCUGGCCAGUGUAGACUCCUCCAUCUGAAUAUGAACCUCCAGGGUAAGAAUUUUUCAGACAUGUCUAUACUGAACAGUAGGAUCCUGCACUUUCCAAAUGUCUGCCUCCUUUUGUUCUUCAUUGACCCAUUCUAAUUCCUGUUAGGUGUGAGAAGAAUUGUCUUCAGUUCUCUCUCCAUUCUCAUUCAUGAUGGAAUCAUUGAUCCAUUGACCAGUUGAGAAAUGAUUGAUGCUGAAGAAGUGGUAUUCUAUUGGUAAGGCUUAUUACCAAACUUCCGAUAAUGAAGCAGGCUACCAAAAACUUAUCCAGCCCACCCUAGGAGUGUUUGGAUUUGAUCAUGGAUGUAGCAUACACCAAAAUCCACCGAGACCUUUGCAAAAUUAGGCUACUUGUUUUAUUUUGCCAGAUUAUCAUGGGAGAGUCUUUAACUAGUUCUGAAUAUUUGUAAGUCUGAGUACUUCAUAGAAUUAUAAAGAAGGUACAGCUGACCCCUUCUCACCAUGUUGUAAAUAUUUACUGAGACUGGGUGCAGUACUGAGGGAUAAUAAUCUUCUGAUUUAUCAAAUCCUGACUGUCUAGAGCAAAUUGUACACUCUCUUUGUGAAUGGUCCUGUAACGUGUAUGAACACAUUUCUGGGUGCCUUAGAAGUUGUAUUUUUCAUGUGUGCUAAUAUGCAGUAUUUAUACAUUGUGAGAAGCUGCUUUGAAUAAAAAGGUUGAAACUUCGUCUGC
rnacentral:lncRNA from 1 species